UAAAGCCGCUUUAUGUGUAGCUUAGUUUGUCGAUAUCAGGCAUAAUGCCCUACAACGUAGCGGUGUCCGAUGAUUAAGAAGACUUUUUCAUCUUUUUGAUAUCUUUUUAAUCAUGUGACACUUUAAUCGCUAUCCCAUAUUAAAUUAGGGAAUGGGACUCUUCACCGAGGUUGUAAAAUGAGACAAACGAUUUUAGCUGUAU
rnacentral:ncRNA from 1 species